rnacentral:rRNA from 1 species
CUGGCUCAGGAUGAACGCUAGCUACAGGCUUAACACAUGCAAGUCGAGGGGCAGCAUGAGAUUAGCUUGCUAAUCUUGAUGGCGACCGGCGCACGGGUGAGUAACGCGUAUCCAACCUUCCCCUUAGUAGGGCAUAGCCCGGCGAAAGUCGGAUUAAUACCCUAUGUUCUUCGUAGAGGACAUCUGAAAUGAAGCAAAGAUUUAUCGCUAAGGGAUGGGGAUGCGUCUGAUUAGGUAGUCGGCGGGGUAACGGCCCACCGAGCCUGCGAUCAGUAGGGGUUCUGAGAGGAAGGUCCCCCACAUUGGAACUGAGACACGGUCCAAACUCCUACGGGAGGCAGCAGUGAGGAAUAUUGGUCAAUGGGCGCGAGCCUGAACCAGCCAAGUAGCGUGCAAGGAUGACGGCCCUAUGGGUUGUAAACUGCUUUUAUGCGGGGAUAAAGUGCACCACGUGUGGUGUUUUGUAGGUACCGCAUGAAUAAGGACCGGCUAAUUCCGUGCCAGCCGCAGC